AUGCACGCUGGCGGCGUGCCUCAUCCAUGCCAGUCGCGCGAACAGUUGAGGAGCUUGCUCCUCUGACGUUAGCGGCGGACGGGUGAGUAACACGUGGAUAACCUACCUAUAAGACUGGGAUAACUUCGGGAAACCGGAGCUAAUACCGGAUAAUAUAUUGAACCGCAUGGUUCAAUAGUGAAAGACGGUUUUGCUGUCACUUAUAGAUGGAUCCGCGCCGCAUUAGCUAGUUGGUAAGGUAACGGCCUACCAAGGCGACGAUGCGUAGCCGACCUGAGAGGGUGAUCGGCCACACUGGAACUGAGACACGGUCCAGACUCCUACGGGAGGCAGCAGUAGGGAAUCUUCCGCAAUGGGCGAAAGCCUGACGGAGCAACGCCGCGUGAGUGAUGAAGGUCUUCGGAUCGUAAAACUCUGUUAUUAGGGAAGAACAAAUGUGUAAGUAACUAUGCACGUCUUGACGGUACCUAAUCAGAAAGCCACGGCUAACUACGUG
rnacentral:rRNA from 1 species